rnacentral:rRNA from 1 species
UACGGAGGAUGCGAGCGUUAUCCGGAUUUAUUGGGUUUAAAGGGUGCGUAGACGGACGCUUAAGUCAGCGGUAAAAUUGCGGGGCUCAACCUCGUCGAGCCGUUGAAACUGGGUGUCUUGAGUGGGCGAGAAGUACGCGGAAUGCGUGGUGUAGCGGUGAAAUGCAUAGAUAUCACGCAGAACUCCGAUUGCGAAGGCAGCGUACCGGCGCCCAACUGACGCUGAAGCACGAAGGCGUGGGUAUCGAACAGG